CGUGCACGCGCGAGGGAAAGAGGCACGUAACCGUUGGGAGACUGUCUGGAGUCUGUCUGAAAUCGAUAAAUUUGGAAAAUGGAGUUUUACGAUUUCCGCGAAUUGACGGAAACGCCGCUUGGUGGGAAAUGUUUUAUUUUUUAUUUUUGCUUUCCUCCCUCUGAUAUUUUCGCACACGAGUCAUCCCGCAUAGCCGAAUAUUUAUUUUAUUUAUUUAUUUUAGAUAAAGGCUCUGAAAGUUUUUCCUCUGCAGUCUGGCAGCAGACAUCUCUUUAUGCUCAGGAUUGGAGGUGGGGAUCUGGACGGGAAUGGAUGUGAUCCACAUCAGACGCAUCCUACCUUAGGAGGCCACAGCCAGGACUUUUCUGGCUAAGCUGUCCCAUGAGACCAGCGACAGUACAGCUGCCUUUUUCUUCCACCUGGAUACACCUUUGAACAUUUUCUUUCCCAAUCACAGACUGGCUGCCACUUCCUAACAGCUCUAUUGCAGAGAAUCCCACAUGUGUUCUGCAGAGGAGAGAAUUUGCACAUACAGAGGGAGCUGGUUGUGGACUAGGAGGAAGAUGUCACACUAAAGAUGGGUUUUGGUGAUGAUGUAGCUGCUGUUGAUGCAGCAUCGAGCUCUCACUUUGUGUCUCUGUCAACUAUGAUCCGUAACCACAAAGUGAGUGACAGGCCAAUCCCCGGGGAACCAGGGGGCCUGAGGUGAGUCAGAUGUGUUCUUGACCUUGUCUAACUGUGUGUCAGCAACUAACACAAACUCAGUAAAGAGAAAGAAACACAACUAAAAGUCCAGAAAUGACACAAUCGCACAUGAACAUCUUCAUUCAGCAUGUUGAGAAGCAAACAAAUCUACUAAAGCUAUGUGUUUUUUUUAACUCUGGAUUUCAAAUUCUCCCUAACUGAUGAGUUAUGAAAUUAUCAUUACAAAGCUCAUCGUAUUCUCAACAACACCAUGAAUUGCUUUGUGUACACUCGAGUUCCACUGAAUAUUUUACUACUGCAAACCAGUUUGAGUCGUAAACAUACUUUAUUCUCAAAGCUGUUCAACUUUUUUACUUCACUGCUUCACAUGCAGACCAUAUAACAUUGCUUUUUAUUCAAACAUGUCAGAAAAGUUGUGUUUUUGUGUUGACUCGAUUCAACACAAAAUCAUCUAAGGUAUGAUGGUUUUGUUUGAAAGGAAUCGAACUUUUUCGGCAUUAAACUUUGAUGGAGUUCAGGACGUCUUUCUGCUCCAACCUGGCUAUCUCUUUAUUUUUUAUUAAACCUUGUAAUUAAAUAAAAGUUUUGUGAACUGCAACUCACACUGGUCGUUUCUUGUUUAAAUAAUUUAAUUCCAUGUGUAAAAAAUUUGAUAUUUUUUUACUUUUUCCCAAUUUUUUCUUUUUUUAAAACACAUUAACAUGUGCAUUAUUGAUCAAACUCUUGAUCUUUUUGAUUAUUACCUAACGUUCUAACACAUGGAUUCAUUUUGUAAGCAGAAAUAAAAACAUAUGCAUUGAUGGAUAUUGUGAAAACUAUGUUGCAUUAAAUGCAAUAAACAAUAAAGUUGCACCUUU